rnacentral:rRNA from 1 species
UACGUAGGGUGCGAGCGUUUAAUCGGAAUUACUGGGCGUAAAGCGUGCGUAGGCGGUUCGCUGUGUCCGAUGUGAAAGCCCCGGGCUUAACCUGGGAAUGGCAUUGGAAACUGGGGGACUUGAGUGCAGAAGAGGAGAGUGGAAUUCCACGUGUAGCGGUGAAAUGCGUAGAGAUGUGGAGGAACACCAGUGGCGAAGGCGACUCUCUGGUCUGUAACUGACGCUGAGGCGCGAAAGCGUGGGGAGCAAACAGG